UUAAAAAUCUUCCCAGUGGCAGCAUAAAUAAAAACAUGGUUGUGUGCAAAUUGUGCAACAAAGAGUUUUCUUAUUACCGCAGCACUUACAGCCUACAGGAUUACCUCAGUGUAAAAUAUGUUGCUGUUAGAACCAGAGCUAACAUUAGCUACGACAGUCCUGGUACAAGUAAACGGUGUAGCCAUCCCAUAAUAGAUCAUUUUUCAAGACACUGUUUACAAAAAGCCUUGAAAUGUGGAAUAUAAUCGCUAUAAUUGCUAUAAUUGCAUUUUGAAUUUGCAGUAAUCUGUGAAUGAAGUAGACAGACAAAAAAAUGUGCAGAUAAAUGAAGCAAGCAUUUUUGCUGUUUAAGAUAUUACUCCGCCAAGAACAUGGAGCCUCGGUGGAGCUACAUGACGUUCGGCUUUGGUUUUGUCAGGCUGGCAGCUGCCAGGCUUAGAUAGUCCCCUCUCCCUCUUCCUCCUCCCCGUUCUUCCUUUUUAGGUUUGUCUAUGGAGUAAUUGCAGCGGCAGGUGUUCAUCAUCAUCAGCUCGUGCAGCAGCGGGUGGAAUGCAGCCAAUCAAGCCUCACACACUCCGCAAUAUAACCAGACGCCACUCACCUCUCAGUGCCGGAUCGUGACACAGCCACUCCGGAUCCAUCUGCUCCUGCUUUGUUCCACCUGGGUUCCCCGUCGCCUGCAGCUCGUGGUUUCGUCCUACACCUGGGAUUCACUCACCUGUGCCGUCUCUACCAUCUGGCUUUCCUCUAUUACCAACCUGCCGCUGCAACACGCCCAAAACCACAUGCGGGGUUCCCAGCCCUGAACCCAGUCCGAGCAUCUGAUUACCAGUCACUUAAGUAGCCCUCUCAGUUCAGUUAUUAGAGUCACUCGCGUCGUUUGUAUUAUUUCUUCAGAGCUCAGUGCUAGUAGUUUGAGUCGUAGUUUAGCUUUUGUAGUUUUCUAGCUUGUAGUUUAGCUUCAUCUUAGUUUAGAGCUUUGUUAUCUUGUUCCUAGAGUCGCUUAGUCUUGCCUUUCUUGCCUGGGUCUUACCCACCGUGAGUCAGCUUUUGAGUUUUUGUAAUGAGUCCACCUAGCCACUAGUAGUAGUCGAGUUCUCAGCUCUGUGUUUACCUUGAGUAGUACCGGUUGUAGUUUUCCGGCUCCGACUUGUAGUUCUGUUACCAUUUUCUGUAAAUAAAUUUCUUUAUAUUGCA